AAAUUGGCCUCUGCCCCUCUCAUUCAACAUUCAUAUCAGCAAAAUGAAUGGAUAAUGAAUGAAAAUUCAAAAGCCUGCUGACACUAUAUUUUCUCCUCUUAUCCAUUCAUGGCGCCAACCCUUACAUCAAAUUCAUUUCUUCUAAUUACAACUCCCCAUUCGAGAUCAGGGUUCAAAAGUCGAAGGAGGCUUACGGUGUUCUCCAAGAAAGGUGGAUCCUUCCAGCCAUUCCGGCUAGGAAAAACUGCUGAUACCUCUGAAGAAAGCCAAGAAGGGAAUUCGGGCAAUUCAAAUCCUUUUCGGUUCAACUUUGGGAAUUUACCUGAUGUGAAGUCUUUGGUUCCAGCAGGGAUCAAUCCAUCUUCAGGCUUAAGUUUGGGAAGCCAAAGGCGUAAAGACCCUGGAACGGUGUUUGUAGCUGGUGCUACGGGGCUAGUUGGAAUACGCAUUGCCCAAACACUUCUUCGGGACGGGUUUAGUGUGAGAGCUGGUGUUCCAGACCUUGGUGCUGCACAAGAGUUGGCCCUGUUGGCCUCCAAAUAUAAGAUAAUAUCUAACAGUGAAUCGAAGCGCCUGAAUGCUGUAGAAUCUAAAUAUCAAGAUGCAGAAUCAAUUGCGAAAGCAAUAGGAAAUGCUAGCAAAGUUGUAGUCACCAUAGGCCCAGCAGAGAAUGGUCCGGGUGCAGAGGUAAGCACCGCAGAUGCAUUGCAAGUAAUUCAGGCUGCACAACUGGCAAAUGUUGGUCAUGUGGCAAUAGUCUAUGAUGAAUCAUCACUAACUGCCUCCAACUACAAUGUGCUUGAUGGGAUCUCUUCUUUCUUCAAUAAUCUCUUCUCAAGAUCUCAACCCUUGACAUUGGCAGAAUUUCUGCAAAAGCUAGUCGAGACUGAUGUUGCAUAUACCCUCAUGAAGACCAAGCUAACAGAAGAUUUUUCACCUGAGAGUUCCUAUAACAUUGUAGUUUCAGCUGAAAGAAGUACUGGUGCGAACGACUACAAAGUUGCAAAGUCACGAAUAGCAGCACUAGUGGCAGAUGUCUUCUCCAAUACAGCAGUGACAGAAAAUAAGGUUGUAGAGGUUUCCACUGAUCCAUCAGCACCCUCAAAGACUAUUGAUGAACAUUUUGGUGCCAUUCCAGAGGACGGAAGACGAAAGGCUUAUGCAGAAGCCCUUGCAAAAGCUCAAGCUGAGGAGGAAGCUCUUAAAGCAUCCGAGCGUGCUCGCGCAGCAGCAGAAGCAGCAAAGAAGCUUGGGGAAGAGGUGAAAAAGCUGGAAAAACAAGAAGCUACGGCUGCCAAUCUAGCUGAAGACGCUCAAAAGAAGGCAGAAGCUGCAGGAGCAUCAGUUGAAAGCCUCUUGGACAAAGCAAAAGGCAUUAGUUCUGGCAUCUCUUGGGAGAAGUUGAGCUCACAGCUUAAAUCAGCUGUUGAAAAGUCAUCCGAGGAAUCAAAAGUGCAGAUUGCCACAAUCAGGGGACAGACCAAGGCUCGGUCUCUGCCUUCCCAGAAGGCGGUAGUAAAAAACCCAGCACCAAAGCCAAAACCUUCUUUCUUAAAAGAAAAGGAAGUUCCAAAGCCAAAAGCAAAAGAACCAGAGUCUAAGACAGAAGUGAGGAAGGUGUUUGGCGGUUUAUUCAAGCAAGAGACAAUCUAUGUUGACGAUGACUGAGAAGAUAAGCUACAAUCUACAUUAAAAUUUUGAGGGAAACUGCUAAAGAGAGAUCAGACAUUUCAUCAAGCAACUCAAUUGCAUUGUUCCGUGUCUUCCUGAUACUCAUUUGUCAUGAGGAUGUAGUGUCAACACAAUGGAAGAAUUGGGGGGAAAGAAGGCAAAGAAUCAACAGUAACUAGCUUUCAGAAGUGGGGGUCCACAAAAAUGUCUUUUGCUUAUUGCGUUUUUCAUAAGGGGAAUACGAUUUCCAUUCAUUUUGUAUUUUCAACUUACAUGUGUACAGAACAGAGGAGAAAUGGAUCUCUGUUGUUGAUGUAAAAUCGUUUCUAUCUUC